rnacentral:rRNA from 1 species
ACCUCCAAACUAGCCUAUAUAUCCAACUAAACUAAUCUCUAUAGAUUGUGUACAUAUUAUAACAUAUUAUUAAAACAUUUUAAUACUUUAAGUAUGGGCGACAGAAAAAAGACAAUAGCGCAAUAGCUCCUGUACCGCAAGGGAAAGUUGAAAAAGAAAUGAAACAAAUUAUUAAAGUACAAAAAAGCAGAGAUCACAACUCGUACCUUUUGCAUCAUGAUUUAGCUAGAAAAAAUAGGCAAAAAGAUUUUCAGUCUACCAUCCCGAAACUAAACGAGCUACUCCGAAGCAGCACAAUUAGAGCCAACCCGUCUCUGUGGCAAAAGAGUGGGAAGACUUCCGAGUAGCGGCGAUAAACCUACCGAGUUUAGUGAUAGCUGGUUACCCAAAAAAAGAACUUAAGUUCUGCAUUAAUUCUUCCCAAAUUAAACAAGAAUAUCUCACCAAAAAUAACAUAAAAAUUAAUAGUUAUUUAGAAGAGGUACAGCCCUUCUAAAUCAAGAUACAACUCUAAAAGGUGGGUAUUGAUCAUAUUUAAUAAGAUUUUUCCCCCAGUGGGCCUAAAAGCAGCCACCUGAAAAGUUAGCGUCAUAGCUCCAGCCCUACAAAAAUCUACAAUUCCGAUAACCUAUCAUAACCCCCAAACUAAUAUUGGGUCAUUUUAUAAACAUAUAAAAGAACUUAUGCUAAAAUAAGUAAUAAGAAAAUAUAUUUCUCCAAACAUAAGUGUAUAUCAGAAAGAAUUAAAUCACUGAUAAUUAAACGAAACUAUAAGAAGUUAUUAUAAUAUCAAAUAAUAUACUAGAUAACCCUAUUUAAUUAUUCGUUAACCCUACACAGGAAUGUUACAAGGAAAGAUUAAAAGAAAGUAAAGGAACUCGGCAAACACAAACUCCGCCUGUUUACCAAAAACAUCGCCUCCUGACAAAAUAUAGGAGGUCUAGCCUGCCCUGUGAAAUUUUUAACGGCCGCGGUAUCUUAACCGUGCAAAGGUAGCGUAAUCACUUGUCUUUUAAAUGAAGACCCGUAUGAAAGGCAUCACGAGAGUUUAACUGUCUCUACUUUCUAAUCCAUGAAAUUGAUCUCUCCGUGCAGAAGCGGAGAUAAAAACAUUAGACGAGAAGACCCUAUGGAGCUUCAAACACUUAAAUUAAUUAUGUAAAAUAUAAUAUUCCAAGGAUAUAAAUAAAUAAUACAAUAUUCCUAAUUUAACAUGUUUUUGGUUGGGGUGACCAAGGAGAAAAAUAAAUCCUCCUCAUCGACUGAGUAUUCAAAUACUUAAAAAUCAGAAUGACUAUUCUGAAUGAUAAAAUAUUUAUCGAAAUCUGACCCAGGACUUACCUGAACAAUGAACCAAGUUACCCUAGGGAUAACAGCGCAAUCCUUUCCCAGAGUCCCUAUCGACGAAAGGGUUUACGACCUCGAUGUUGGAUCAGGACAUCCUAAUGGUGCAACCGCUAUUAAGGGUUCGUUUGUUCAACGAUUAAUAGUCCUACGUGAUCUGAGUUCAGACCGGAGAAAUCCAGGUCAGUUUCUAUCUAUGAAAAAUUUUUCCUAGUACGAAAGGACCGGAAAAAUAGAGCCAAUACCCCAAGUACGCUCUAUCUUCAUCUAUUGAAAUAAGCUUAAAUAGGUAAAAAGAAAUAUCUUUUAACCUACCCCAAAAAAAGGGGAUU